UGACUCCUACGGGGGGCAGCAGUGGGGGAUAUUGCACAAUGGGCGAAAGCCUGAUGCAGCGACGCCGCGUGAGGGAAGACGGUCUUCGGAUUGUAAACCUCUGUCUUUGGGGAAGAAAAUGACGGUACCUGGGGAGGAAGCUCCGGCUAACUACGUGCCAGCAGCCGCGGUAAUACGUAGGGAGCGAGCGUUGUCCGGAAUUACUGGGUGUAAAGGGAGCGUAGGCGGGGAUGCAAGUUGGGUGUCAAAACUACCGGCUCAACUGGUAGUCGCACUCAAAACUGCAGCUCUUGAGUGCAGUAGAG
rnacentral:rRNA from 1 species